rnacentral:RNase_P_RNA from 1 species
UCAGAGGGUCGGGCGACCGCCUACUUUUGUUAAUGCUAAAGCGGGCUUGCCGCGCCGAAGCUUUAGCGAAGGCGGGAGGAAAGUCCGGGCUCCAUUGAAGCAGGAUGCCGGAUAACGUCCGGCGGGUGUGUUGGCAACAACACAUUUAGGGAAAGUGCAACAGAAAGCAAACCGCCUCAUCAGUAUUCAUAUUGGUGAGGUAAGGGUGAAAGGGUGUGGUAAGAGCGCACCGUACGUUUUGGCAACAAGACGGGCAUGGUAAACCCCAUCCGGAGCAAGACCAAAUAGGGGCGGCAUUAUGGUGUGCUUUGGCACCGCUGCCCGGGUUGGUUGCUUGAGGCGCUGAGCAAUCAGCGUCCCAGAUGAAUGGUCGCCGCGUGAGAACGUACAGAACCCGGCUUAUAGACCCUCUGAUAUA